rnacentral:tRNA from 1 species
GAGGGCAUAGCUCAGUGGUAGAGCACAUGCUCAAAAUGCACAAGGUCCUGGGUUCAAUUCCCAGUACCUCCA